AUGUAUUCGCGAAGGCUUUCACAGCCAGGAUCUAAUGGUUGUUGUGGGUUUUUCGGGCUCUUUGGCUGUGUUCUGAAGGUUGUUCUUCCUGACAUUUCGCCAGUCUCUGUGGCCGGCAUCUUCAGAGGACUGGACAGAGACUGGCGAAAUGUCAGGAAGAACAAGCUUCAGAACACGGCCAAAGAGCCUGAAAAACCCACAACAACCAUUGAAAAACUAUUGAUUGCAAUGAGCCUUCAUGUGUUUAGUUCAGUACUGGACUACACUAUGUAUCUACAUAAAAAUUUAGAUGAGCUCAAGAAUCAUACUGUCUCCCCUGGGAAGCAAGAACUAUAUUUGUGUAAGGGAACACACAUUCACACAAAGGACAAAGGGGGAAGAGACAGACCUGUAUCACUGCAUUAUUCAGUACCCAUUAACUGUUACUUGGGAAGCUGUGGUCCAAUUUACAGUCAAAAUGGAAAAGAAAUGACCAUAUCUGUUACGCUUAAACAAACAAACAAACAAGGAAACAUGCACGCACACACCCUUUUUAAAGGGUUUCAAUCCUGGGGCAUGUGAACCAGUAGAUCUGGGAGCGCUCUGUUUACUUACUGCAUUCCUAGGACAGAGGAAAUGGUUUGCAGUGUCCAUUCCCAAGAGAGGCACAGUCACGUCAGUAGGUCCAUCAGAGGAGACUGCUUGCUUUUUUGCCGGCAACAUCUAUCUGUUGCCAAGGGCUGAGUAGGGAAUGCAAAAAGGAAGUCCCCAAAGUGAUAUUUCAAAGGUCAGAGCAACCACGAUAAAAACCCAUAGCUGUACAGUUUCCUCCAUGUAUAAAGAUAAAGUAAAGGUCAGGAAGACCACCAGUGGUUAUUUCCAACAAAUAGGAGGGCAGUUCUGCAUUACUCAUGCUGGUUUCUUUCCCACAAAGCCAGCAACCAUGGGAGUUAAAGAGCAGGAUGGCACCAACUGCCUUGGCUUUGAACACAGGAUGGCAAGUCCCGCACACAACAUGCACAUGCAACCUGUACAUGUGUGGGAUCUCUUUUGGUUACUGGGAACCCGCAUAGAAAAGAAAAUGGUGAUCAGGCUGUGCAUAUACAAUUCAUAGUUAUUGAGGCGCUCUCUUUUCGGAUCCUACCAAUACCCUAUAUUCUAAAGCAAGGAUGCAGCCUUCUAGAUUGUGUUGGACUGCAACCUCAGCAGUCCUCUGUUGGCUGAGACUGACAGGGGU
rnacentral:lncRNA from 1 species